AUUGAACGCUGGCGGAAUGCUUUACACAUGCAAGUCGAACGGUAACAGGGACUUCGGUCCGCUGACGAGUGGCGAACGGGUGAGUAAUACAUCGGAACGUACCCAGCUGUGGGGGAUAACUACGCGAAAGCGUAGCUAAUACCGCAUACGACCUGAGGGUGAAAGCGGGGGACCGUAAGGCCUCGCGCAGUUGGAGCGCCCGAUGUUCGAUUAGCUAGUUGGUGAGGUAAAGGCUCACCAAGGCGACGAUCGAUAGCUGGUCUGAGAGGAUGAUCAGCCACACUGGGACUGAGACACGGCCCAGACUCCUACGGGAGGCAGCAGUGGGGAAUUUUGGACAAUGGGCGAAAGCCUGAUCCAGCCAUUCCGCGUGAGUGAAGAAGGCCUUCGGGUUGUAAAGCUCUUUCGGGUAGAAAGAAAUCGCAUGGGCCAAUACCCUGUGCGGAUGACGGUACUACCAUAAGAAGCACCGGCUAACUACGUGCCAGCCGCCGCGGUAA
rnacentral:rRNA from 1 species